UACGGGGGGGGGCAAGCGUUUGUUCGGAAUUACUGGGCGUAAAGGGCUCGUAGGUGGCCAGCUAAGUCAGACGUGAAAUCCCCAGCUUAACCUGGGAACUGCGUCGGAUACUGGAUGGCUUGAAUUCGGGAGAGGGAUGCAGAAUUCCAGGUGUAGCGGUGAAAUGCGUAGAUAUCUGGAGGAAUACCGGUGGCGAAGGCGGCAUCCUGGACCGACAUUGACGCUGAACGGCGAAAGCUAGGGGAGCAAAACGGGG
rnacentral:rRNA from 1 species